rnacentral:rRNA from 1 species
UACAGAGGGUGCGAGCGUUGUUCGGAAUUAUUGGGCGUAAAGAGCUCGUAGGCGGUCUGUCGCGUCGGCUGUGAAAACCCGGGGCUCAACCCCGGGCCUGCAGUCGAUACGGGCAGACUAGAGUGCGGUAGGGGAGACUGGAAUUCCUGGUGUAGCGGUGAAAUGCGCAGAUAUCAGGAGGAACACCGGUGGCGAAGGCGGGUCUCUGGGCCGUAACUGACGCUGAGGAGCGAAAGCGUGGGGAGCGAACAGG